rnacentral:rRNA from 1 species
UUUUUCCGCCUAAAGAGAAGCUUGCGGCUGAUUAGCUUGUUGGUAAGGUAAUGGCUUACCAAGGCGACGAUCAGUAUCUGGUUUGAGAGGACGAUCAGACACACUGGAACUGAGACACGGUCCAGACUCCUACGGGAGGCAGCAGUGGGGAAUUUUCCGCAAUGGGCGAAAGCCUGACGGAGCAAUACCGCGUGAGGGAUGAAUGCCUAUGGGUUGUAAACCUCUUUUUUCAGGGAGGAACAAAAUGACGUGUACCUGAAGAAUAAGCAUCGGCUAACUCCGUGCCAGCAGCCGCGGUAAGACGGAGGAUGCCAAGUGUUAUCCGGAAUCACUGGGCCGUAAAGCCGCCUGUAGGUGGUUUAAUAAGUCAACUUGUUAAAUCUUGAGGCUCAACCUCGAAACCGCA